rnacentral:rRNA from 1 species
AUUGAACGCUGGCGGCAGGCCUAACACAUGCAAGUCGAGCGGUAACACAGGGAGCUUGCUCCCGGGUGACGAGCGGCGGACGGGUGAGUAAUGUCUGGGAAACUGCCUGAUGGAGGGGGAUAAGUACUGGAAACGGUAGCUAAUACCGCAUAACGUCGCCAGACCAAAGGGGGGGAACUUCGGGCCUCUUUCCAUCAGGUGUGCCCAGAGGGGAUGAGCUAGUAGGUGGGGUAAUGGCUCACCUAGGCGACGAGCCCUGGCUGGUCUGAGAGGAUGACCAGCCACACUGGAACUGAGACACGGUCCAGACUCCUACGGGAGGCAGCAGUGGGGAAUAUUGCACAAUGGGCGAAAGCCUGAUGCAGCCAUGCCGCGUGUAGGAAGAAGGCCUUCGGGUUGUAAAGUACUUUCAGCGGGGAGGAAGGUGCUGAGGUUAAUAACCUCAGCAAUUGACGUUACCCGCAGAAGAAGCACCGGCUAACUCCGUGCCAGCAGCCGCCGUAAAAC